rnacentral:rRNA from 1 species
GACGAACGCUGGCGGCGUGCUUAACACAUGCAAGUCGAACGGAAAGGCCCUGCUUUUGCGGGGUGCUCGAGUGGCGAACGGGUGUGUAACACGCGAGUAACCUGCCCUUGUCUUUGGGAUAACUUCAGGAAACUGGGGCUAAUACCGGAUAGGAGCUCCUGCUGCAUGGUGGUGGUUGGAAAGUUUCGGCGGUUGGGGAUGGAUUCGCGGCUUCUCAGCUUGUUGGGGGGGUAGUGACUUACCAAGGCUUUGACGGGUAGCCGGCCUGAGAGGGUGACCGGCGUCAUGAGGACUGAGGGACGGCGCAGACUCGUACGGGAGGCAGCAGGGGGAAAUAUUACAGAAUGGGCGGGAGCCUGAUGCGGCAGCGCCGCGUGCGGGAUGACGGCUUUCGGGGUGUAAACCGCUGUCGCCUGUGACGAAGCGUGAGUGACGGUAAUGAGUAAAGAAGCACCGGCUAACUACGUG